rnacentral:rRNA from 1 species
AACGAACGCUGGCGGCAGGCCUAACACAUGCAAGUCGAGCGAGGACUUCGGUUCUAGCGGCGGACGGGUGAGUAACGCGUGGGAAUGUGCCCUUCUCUACGGAAUAGCCCUGGGAAACUGGGAGUAAUACCGUAUACGCCCUAUUGGGGAAAGAUUUAUCGGAGAAGGAUCAGCCCGCGUUGGAUUAGGUAGUUGGUGGGGUAAUGGCCAACCAAGCCGACGAUCCAUAGCUGGUUUGAGAGGAUGAUCAGCCACACUGGGACUGAGACACGGCCCAGACUCCUACGGGAGGCAGCAGUGGGGAAUCUUAGACAAUGGGGGCAACCCUGAUCUAGCCAUGCCGCGUGAGUGAUGAAGGCCUUAGGGUUGUAAAGCUCUUUCAGCUGGGAAGAUAAUGACGGUACCAGCAGAAGAAGCCCCGGCUAACUCCGUG